UACGUAGGGUGCAAGCGUUGUCCGGAAUUAUUGGGCGUAAAGAGCUCGUAGGCGGUUCGUCGCGUCGGCUGUGAAAACCUGGGGCUCAACCUCAGGCCUGCAGUCGAUACGGGCGGACUUGAGUACUGCAGGGGAGACUGGAAUUCCUGGUGUAGCGGUGAAAUGCGCAGAUAUCAGGAGGAACACCGGUGGCGAAGGCGGGUCUCUGGGCAGUAACUGACGCUGAGGAGCGAAAGCGUGGGGAGCGAACAGG
rnacentral:rRNA from 1 species